UUUGCGUCCUGUGACGUGUACUUGAACCCGGAAGAGAUUUCGCUGCAGAGCCGCAGCCAGAGUACUUUCAACUUGCAAAGUUUUUAAUAGUAAAGUGUGAGAGCCAAGAUGCAAGUGUUACCUGGGGCCAAUGGUCCGUGAUGCAUGUGGAGGUGUGCUGGCGGGGUUAUGGAGACUCCACUGAACUGUGCUGAAGAGCAACAACCCCCUCCUGUCUUACCUGACGCCUGGUCCACAGUCACACCACAGGAGCCUACUACAGACAGAAAUGACAAGGGGAAAGCUGUUGGCUUUGUGUUGGUGCAUGCAGGAGCAGGAUACCACUCUGAGUCCAAAGCCAAGGAAUACAAGCAUGUCUGCAAGAGAGCUUGCCAGAGAG